CAUUAGAGAGUACAAUCGUGGUGGUGGUUGUGGUGGUGGUGGGGUUGGCUGUGCUGGUGGUUGUGGUGGUGGUCGUGGUGGUGUCUGCAUUUCCAGAAGUGGAGGAUGCACUGCCUGAGGUACCAGCUGGUCCUUUAGAAGAGCCAGGUUGUCCAGAUGUGGAGACAGCAGCUGAUGAUCCAUAAGAGACCGUUUUGGUGGUUGUGGUGGUGCUGGUGCUGGUGCUGGUUGUACUUGUGGUUUCUGCUUUUUCAGAAGUGGGGGCUGCAUUUGGUGAGGUGAGAGCAAGUUCUGCUGUGUUCACAGGUUGUUGAGAUGGGGAGACAGGAG
ensembl:lncRNA